UUGCACCUGAUGGCGAGUGGCGAACGGGUGAGUAAUGCAUCGGAACGUGCCCAGUCGUGGGGGAUAACGCAGCGAAAGUUGUGCUAAUACCGCAUACGAUCUAUGGAUGAAAGCGGGGGACCUUCGGGCCUCGCGCGAUUGGAGCGGCCGAUGUUAGAUUAGGUAGUUGGUGGGGUAAAGGCUCACCAAGCCAACGAUCUAUAGCUGGUCUGAGAGGACGACCAGCCACACUGGAACUGAGACACGGUCCAGACUCCUACGGGAGGCAGCAGUGGGGAAUUUUGGACAAUGAGCGAAAGCCUGAUCCAGCAAUACCGCGUGCAGGAAGAAGGCCCUCGGGUUGUAAACUGCUUUUGUACGGAACGAAACGGCGCGCUCUAAUAAAGUGCGCUAAUGACGGUACCGUAAGAAUAAGCACCGGCUAACUACGUGCCAGCAGCCGCGGUAAUACGUAGGGUGCAAGCGUCAAUCGGAAUUACUGGGCGUAAAGCGUGCGCAGGCGGUUUUGUAAGACAGGCGUGAAGUCCCCGGGCUCAACCUGGGAAUUGCGCUUGUGACUGCAAGGCUAGAGUACGGUAGAGGGGGGUAGAAUUCCGCGUGUAGCAGUGAAAUGCGUAGAUAUGCGGAGGAACACCGAUGGCGAAGGCAGCCCCCUGGACCUGUACUGACGCUCAUGCACGAAAGCGUGGGGAGCAAACAGGAUUAGAUACCCUGGUAG
rnacentral:rRNA from 1 species